rnacentral:rRNA from 1 species
UAAAGCGUGCGCAGGCGGUUUGUAAGUCUGAUGUGAAAUACCCCGGGCUCAACCUGGGAAUUGCAUUGGAGACUGCAAGGCUAGAAUCUGGCAGAGGGGGUAGAAUUCCACGUGUAGCAGUGAAAUGCGUAGAUAUGUGGAGGAACACCGAUGGCGAAGGCAGCCCCCUGGGUCAAGAUUGACGCUCAUGCACGAAAGCGUGGGGAGCAAACAGGAUUAGAUACCCUAGU